rnacentral:lncRNA from 1 species
UUUUAAAAUUGAGGAUAAUUAUUCAAAUUGCAAUAAUGGAAUUUAUUUUCUUAUCUUUCAUAUCUUAGGUACAUAUCUAAGACUGAUGUGCUGAACCAAAGGAACAUAAUUAAAUCGCAUAUAUUAGUCACAGAACAGCUCACUCUUCCAACCCAACCGCCACCACCGCGUCCCACAGGAAACAUCCACAAAAUGACCGACGCCUUCGCUCACUGCUCUGUCUCCUGUCAGCCCCUCAUGACCUUUUAAAAUUUCAGCCUCUGAGGGAGAUGCAAUGAUCAGUGAGUAGACUGAAAAAAUGAAAAUAACACAAUUUAAAUAUAUACAAUAUACUGAAUAAAAAAGUAAAAGGUAAUUAUUUUAUUUAUGUA